GACGAACGCUGGCGGCGCGCUUAACACAUGCAAGUCGAACGGAAAGGCCUGCUUUCCCUUGUGGCUUGAGGGGACGCGAGUGGCGAACGGGUGAGUGGCAAGUGAGUGAUCUGCCGCCGACUUGGGUAUAAGCCUGGGAGACAGGGUCUAAUAACAGCUAGAACUGCAGGGUGGAGCCUGUAGUGGAAAACGAGCUUCUCGUGGAUGGGGCUGGGCGCACGGCCUAUCAGCUUGUUGGGGGGGUAAUGGCCUACCAAGGCGGUGACGGGUAGCCGGCCUGGGAGGGCCGACUGCGGCAUUGGGACUGGCCUACGGCCCAGCCGGCGACGGCAGGAGGGAGUGGGGGAUAAUGGACGAUAGGCGGACGCCUGAUGCAGCGACGCCGGGUGGGGGAUGUCGGCCUUCGGGUUGUAAUCUCCUGUCGACCGCGAGGAAGCCACCUGGUUGGAAGUGUGGUGACGGUAGUGGUAGAAGAAGCACCGGCUAACUACGUG
rnacentral:rRNA from 1 species